CUUUCCCGCUUUUUAGGUUCCGGAUGUGGAAUGCAGGCAACGACAAGAACAGCUUGCUAAACCGCAUAGACUUGGACUGCUAUGAUAGCACUACUGUCUACUGGUUCUAAUAAAUAGUAAAGUUUUAUAAAGGAAUAAUAUCUACUUAUUUGAUAGAAUUCGAAAUCAGACAUAAAACUUUCAAGGUUACAUGUUAAUCAUCUUUCAACGUUAUAUUGCUGGAAUGGAAAAAGUAUGAAGAAAGAGCCUUUCAAAGAUUUAUUGUUAACUAAAUGCAUAAAAAAAUGUGUUCAUGCAAAAUUCGAAACGGAUGACAAACAAAUUAUCGAAGUCAUCUCUAAAUGGUUCAUCCAGGGCAAAUUACGUCAUGACAGAGAUGAAGAACGAUUACAAC